UCUCGCUCUUUCUCUCCGCCUCCACUUCCCUUCGUCUGUAGAUCUGCCUCCGUCUUUCACAAAGAGAUGAGAACACCCCCGCCUCUUGUUAAUAUUGAAGAUGCAGAACCUCGUGAAAACCCUAAAAUGCAAAACCAUUUCAUUUUUCAAAUCCAAGAAUCCCCAUCUUUUCCACCAUGAAUCCAAAACCACAGAAACUCCAAUCAAUCAUACACAAUCCCUAAUCGAAGUGAUGAAAAUGAUGAGUGUACCUGAAGCACAUCAUUCCCUUUUGAUUCCAGUUAACUGGGAAGAGUAGAAAAUGCGGGCCGAUGAUAUUACACCGGAAAAAGAUAAACAUGAACUAUACCCUCUUUAGUAUACGGACUGAAUACCUAUGAUGAUUGUGCUAUAAUUAUGUUUGGCGUUACUUCCCUUGUGGUGUAGGAUAAUGUCUCGAUGGCACAGGAAUAUCCGCAGGGACUGUCAGAUGGGUAAAGGAUGCUCAUGCAUAUGAUAGACCAAUGGGAAUGGACUCUUGCACCUAGUGUGUCUCCUUCUCCCAGGUGCUUAUUUAGAAGCUACACAGAGACGCAGAGAAAAUUGUGCUCAGAUGGGAAGACUUGGAAAGGGGAUGGUUUGGUGGUUAAUCGUCUUCGGAGAUCCAACAGUGGUGUUGAAUAUAUGUUCCAUGUUUUUACUUAAUUAACUACCUCUAUGCAUUUUCUCUGGAAAUGUAAUAACAAUAAUUUUUCAUUAAUAAAUAAAGAGUAUCUGAGAAUUUUUGAGUAAA